UACGGAGGGGGCUAGCGUUGUUCGGAAUUACUGGGCGUAAAGCGUGUGUAGGCGGUCUCAUAAGUCGGGUGUGAAAACCCAGGGCUCAACCCUGGGCCUGCAUUCGAUACGGGCAGACUAGAGUUCGGUAGGGGAGACUGGAAUUCCUGGUGUAGCGGUGAAAUGCGCAGAUAUCAGGAGGAACACCGGUGGCGAAGGCGGGUCUCUGGGCCGAUACUGACGCUGAGGAGCGAAAGCGUGGGGAGCGAACAGG
rnacentral:rRNA from 1 species